UCAGCUAUUCGCAGUUUCUAUGAUUAUAUAAUAUCUAAUAUAUGAUUUAAAAAAAAAACUGUUGUAGCUAAUUACAUAACAGGGAGUGAAAUGUGAUAACUUUCAAAUAAAACAUUCGAGUUUUAACAACUGUAUAUGUGAUAAAUACAACAGUCUGUGCAUAAACAAUUCAAGACAUCUGAACGAGAACAAAGAAAUAAUUAACAAAUAAUUAGCAUUAAUAUUUUCAAACGCAACAAGAGAUUUGAUUUGUCUGUUACGCAAUGGCCUGUUACGAAACGGGAAAACAAAUCCUUCUGGCUCGUACUGUGUUUGUGAAAGGAGAACUUAGAAAACUAGAACAACAAAAGUGUAGUCGGAACUUAACAGAGAUUCGCGCUAUUUUUAUUGCUAUAGAUUCCAAUAUGAAUGAAAUCAGAAAUCUAAAAGCAAAAAUGAUUGAAUCAGAGUUAUCUUCUUAUCUAAGUGUUCUAACAAAUAUUGAAGACUUCGAGAAAGAUAUGCUUGAACUACAAACAAAGAUAGAAGAGCAACGUGCGUUGAAGCUUUGUACAGCUUAGAUGAAAUGAAAGAAUUGCAAAGGAAUGCCAUUUUACUACAUAAGCUGAGUUUUUAUAUGACAUAAAAUAGGCUAAUUUUUGUUAAAGUGUUUAUGUUGCUAAGUAAGUGAUUCAACAUAAUUCAUCGAGACGACAGACUUAAUUUCAAAAUAAAAAUCAACAACUUAAGUGCCAAUCAAAGUAAUGAUGAAAUGGUAUCAUAUUUUUUAUUUUGCUUUAAUUUGUUAAUACCUAUGUACAUAAUAAUGUGAUAAAAAGUAUAAUAAUAUAUAAUAAUAUAGUAUUUUGUUUGAUUGUAUUGACUUGCAUCUGUCAUCUACUCAUUUACGGUUUAAAACAUACAUAUGCCUUAAAUAGAUAUAUUUUAACCCUGUAUAAUUUGUCUUAAUAUGAUUGAUAAAAAUAACGCCGACCUUUGAUGUAGCUGAGGCAGAUGUUGUUUGAAUUGAGCAAACCAUAUAUUGAAAUAAAUCGGAACUAGUCUAUAAUAUAAGAUCAGAUAAGAUGAAAUUAUUAAAAUUAAUGCUACUUUCAUCAAAGAUAAAGUUGUUUGGAUUGAGAAGUUGUACUUGUAAAUCUAUUAGGAGUUUUCAGCCGAAGGUGGAAAGGAGGGUAUUUAGUGGUCGACAACCCAAUUUAUUUAGUAACUAUCACGCUGUGUAACUAUUAUGACACCAGCGCGUGAUUAGUGCAUGAUUUCUUCGAAUGAUUUCUUUGUUCGAACCGUAUCACAGCGGCAUGAAAAAUUGUUGAUAAACAGUCGCCAUCUUUCUGCGAGUAGUUGAUGCAGAAUAAGCAUUGAAGCUAAAUUAAAAUUUACUUAGAAUUAAGCUGUACCAACACCUCCCCUCCACCUGCAUUCAUUUAUGAUGUAUGACUUAGUAGAUUAUAUUUCUAUAAUAUUUUAUAUAUAUUAUGACCCACCUUUGCUUAGCAUUCUUUGUUAAAACAUUAGUUAAUAAACAUUUGGUAAUUUUGUUUAGAUUUAUUUUAAGAACUGUCAUUUUAAAAAUAAAUCACAAUUAUUCAUUCA